rnacentral:lncRNA from 1 species
GCCCAGGAGGAAACAGCAAUGUCAGGAAUGAAGCUCUAAUGUUGCUAACAACAUUCUGGAAGAGACACUGGAGACAGCGUUGAGAGUUACUGGGUCAUCAGGAUUUAAUUUUUACUGAGUGCUGAGUUCCUAAACAGUGUGCAUCCAAAUGUGUCACCAUGAGGAAGGAACCGUUCUGUGAGGACAGCGUCACUAUCACUACAAUCCCACAGAAGCGAUGACACAGAAGCUUAAAGUGUGUCCUGUGUUGGAAGAUGAUCAGUGCAUUUCUGGACAUAAUUUCAGGUGACAACGAUUUGUAAAAGGGACUCUCAAGCCAAGCAUCUAUUGGAGACAGGCAUAGUGCUACAUAUCUGCAGUCUUAGUUUCUCAGAAGUUUGAGGACUGCCAGGGCAACUUUGUGAGACCCAAUCUUAAAAUCCAUCAUCAAUCAACUAGAAAUUGAUCCUGGAGGACUGGGGGGUGGGAGCAAUGAGAGGAAGAAAGGUUUCUGGGCAUAUAGAUCUUUUUUCUACAGAGACCUUCAUGUCGUUUAAAUUAUGAUGAUAUGAAUAUAUAAUAGUUCGAUAAAUAAAAAUGUAAAAUUAAAAAGAUUAAAAACUUAAAAGAAAUUUGAAGUAAAAUAGCAAUUCUAGCUGGACAGUGGUGGUGCACACCUUUAAUUCCAGCACUCAGGAGGGAGAGGCAAGCGGGUAUUUGAGUUGGAGAUCGGUUUGUUCUACAAAGCCAGAGCUGCACAGAGAACCCUGUCUCAUAACAGCCAAUGAGAUACAAGCUUAAAUACUCUUUUAGGUCGCAGCUUAGCUCCGCACUUGUAAAACGUCUUUAGAAGGCAGGAGGAAAGAUUCACACCCCUGGAGCAAUCCAGGAAACCUUUGCCCGGUGGAGAGACUGGGUGAACUUUUCUUAAGAAACGCGCAGGAAUGAUUCUCCGCCCUGUCCUUCCGGGAACAACUGACUCAGGCAUUUUAGUAAGAGUCCAGGGCAGGUAAGGCACACUGCAUGGAACUUAAUUAUGCAUUACUUGGUUUCUUUUAUGAUCCUCAAGCCAAGUGUGGUUAUUAAAUGCUUUAUGUUUAAUCUGUAUCUACUGCAAGCAGAGUCUGACUGCCUGGGAGGAGAACCGAUACUUUUGUAGUUCCAACUCUCCCAGGUCCCUUUGGUGAUACCAAGAAAAUGACAAAUGAAUUGGAAGAAGGGUGCCUUUCGGACCAGAGAAUAUUAA